rnacentral:misc_RNA from 1 species
UUUCCGUAGGUGAACCUGCGGAAGGAUCAUUGUCGAAGCCUGCCCAGCAGAACGACCCGCGAACUUGUAUAAAUAACCGGGGGCAGGGGCGAUCUCGCCCCGUGCCCUCGAACGGCAGGGAGACACUCGUGCCUUCUUGUCGAACAACGAACCCCGGCGCGGUCUGCGCCAAGGAACUUCAAUUAAAGAGUGCCUCCGGUCGCCUCGGAAACGAUGCGCGUGUCGGAGGCGAAUCUUGUACAAAACCAUAACGACUCUCGGCAACGGAUAUCUCGGCUCUC